CCUACGGGAGGCAGCAGUAAGGAAUAUUGGACAAUGGUGGCAACACUGAUCCAGCCAUGCCGCGUGCAGGAUGACGGUCCUAUGAAUUGUAAACUGCUUUUAUACGGGAAAAACCCUCAAGACGUGAUUUUGAGCUGAUUGUACCGUAAGAAUAAGGAUCGGCUAACUUCGUGCCAGCAGCCGCGGUAAGACGAAGGAUCCAAGCGUUAUCCGGAUUUAUUGGGUUUAAAGGUGCGUAGGCGGACUCAUAAGUCAGUGGUGAAAUCCCAAAGCUUAACUUUGGAACUGCCAUUGAUACUGUAAGUCUUGAGUAUGUUUGAAGUGGGCGGAAUGUAUUGUGUAGCGGUGAAAUGCUUAGAUAUAAUACAGAACACCAAUUGCGAAGGCAGCUCACUAAACCAUAACUGACGCUGAGGCACGAAAGCAUGGGGAGCAAACAGGAUUAGAUACCCUGGUAGUCCAUGCCCUAAACGAUGAAUACUCGAUAUGUGCGAUAUACAGUACGUGUCUAAAGCGAAAGCAUUAAGAUUCCACCUUGGGGAGUACGCUCGCAAGAGUGAAACCUUAAAUGAAAUUGACCGGNUUGAGACGNGCGACGGACGACACGAGGGAGGUAGG
rnacentral:rRNA from 1 species